UCGUAAGUCGGUGCAUGGCACUAGGCCUGCAGCGGCGAGCUUCGUUCGUCCCAUAUGGAUGUGACGAAGUUUCACCAGAAAAAGGAA
rnacentral:ncRNA from 2 species